UACAGAGGUCCCAAGCGUUGUUCGGAUUCACUGGGCGUAAAGGGUGCGUAGGCGGUCGGGUAAGUCUGAUGUGAAAUCUCACAGCUUAACUGUGAAACUGCAUUGGAUACUAUUCGGCUUGAGAGUUGGAGGGGGGACUGGAAUUCUUGGUGUAGCAGUGAAAUGCGUAGAUAUCAGGAGGAACACCGGUGGCGAAGGCGGGUCUCUGGGCCGGUACCGACGCUGAGGAGCGAAAGCGUGGGGAGCGAACAGG
rnacentral:rRNA from 1 species